rnacentral:rRNA from 1 species
UACGUAGGGGGGCAAGCGUUGUCCGGAAUUAUUGGGCGUAAAGCGCGUGUAGGCGGCUCGGUAAGUCUGCUGUGAAAGUCCAGGGCUCAACCCUGGAAUGCCGGUGGAUACUGUCGAGCUCGAGUCCGGAAGAGGCGAGUGGAAUUCCUGGUGUAGCGGUGAAAUGCGCAGAUAUCAGGAGGAACACCAAUGGCGAAGGCGGGUCUCUGGGCCGAUGAUCGACGCUGAGGAGCGAAAGCGUGGGGAGCGAACAGG